UCAAGCGCAAAAGGGCAUUUGGUGGAUGCCUUGGCACUAAGAGGCGAUGAAGGACGUAGCACACUGCGAUAAGCUACGGGGAGCUGUGAGCAAGCUUUGAUCCGUGGAUUUCCGAAUGGGGAAACCCGGCCCGUAAGGGUCAUUCUACACUGAAUACAUAGGUUUAGAAAGCAAACCCGGCGAACUGAAACAUCUAAGUAGCCGGAGGAAAGGACAUCAACCGAGACUCCGUUAGUAGUGGCGAGCGAACGCGGACCAGGCCAGUGGCCAAAUGUUAAGAACCGGAACCGUCUGGAAAGUCGGGCCAUAGUGGGUGAUAGCCCCGUACGGGUAGAAAGACGUUUGGUCUUCGAGUAGGGCGGGACACGUGAAAUCCUGUCUGAACGUGGGGGGACCACCCUCCAAGCCUAAGUACUCCUUAGUGACCGAUAGUGGACAAGUACCGUGAGGGAAAGGUGAAAAGCACCCCGACAAGGGGAGUGAAAUAGUUCCUGAAACCGGAUGCCUACAAGCAGUCGGAGGAAGAGUAGUCUUCGGAUUACGGCUUCUGACGGCGUACCUUUUGUAUAAUGGGUCAGCGACUUAGUCUGUACAGCAAGCUUAAGCCGGUAGGUGUAGGCGCAGCGAAAGCGAGUCUUAAUAGGGCGAUGAAGUUGUGCGGAUUAGACCCGAAACGUGGUGAUCUAGCCAUGGGCAGGUUGAAGGUGGGGUAAGACCCACUGGAGGACCGAACCCACCUAUGUUGAAAAAUGGGGGGAUGACCUGUGGCUAGGGGUGAAAGGCCAAUCAAACCACGAAAUAGCUGGUUCUCCGCGAAAACUAUUUAGGUAGUGCGUCAUGUUUUACCACCGGGGGUAGAGCACUGGAUGGGCUAGGGGGGCGCGAGCCUUACCAAACCUAACCAAACUCCGAAUACCGGUGAGUAUAAUCAUGGCAGACAGACUACGGGUGCUAAGAUCCGUAGUCGAAAGGGAAACAGCCCAGACCGCCAGUUAAGGUCCCCAAAUAAUGGCUAAGUGGGAAAGGAUGUGGGAAGACCAAGACAGCCAGGAGGUUGGCUUAGAAGCAGCCAUCCUUUAAAGAAAGCGUAACAGCUCACUGGUCUAAUUAAGCCGUCCUGCGCCGAAGAUGUAACGGGGCUUAAGCCAUUUACCGAAACUGCGGGUGCAUUUGACCUUCGGGUUAAGUGCGCGGUAGCGGAGCGUUCCGUAGGCCUGUGAAGGUGUAUCGUGAGGUAUGCUGGAGGUAUCGGAAGUGCGAAUGCUGACAUGAGUAACGAUAAAGAGUGUGAGAAACACUCUCGCCGAAAGCCCAAGGGUUCCUGCGCAAGGUUAAUCCGCGCAGGGUGAGCCGGCCCCUAAGCCGAGGCCGAAAGGCGUAGGUGAUGGGAAUCAGGUUAAUAUUCCUGAGCCCGCUGGUAGUGACGAAUACCGUAAGUUGUCAGUCCUUAUUGGAUUGGUUCUGGCAGUGAAGGUGUUCCAGGAAAUAACUCCAGCUAAUGGACCGUACCCCAAACCGACACAGGUGGGCAGGUAGAGAAUACUAAGGCGCUUGAGAGAACGGUGUUGAAGGAACUCGGCAAAAUACCCUCGUAACUUCGGGAGAAGGGGGACCUCUUAUUGGGCAACCAGUAUGAGGUGGCACAGACCAGGGGGUGGCGACUGUUUACUAAAAACAUAGGGCUCUGCUAAGUCGUAAGACGAUGUAUAGGGUCUGACGCCUGCCCGGUGCCGGAAGGUUAAGGAGAGAGGUGAGAGCUUUGAACCGAAGCCCCGGUAAACGGCGGCCGUAACUAUAACGGUCCUAAGGUAGCGAAAUUCCUUGUCGGGUAAGUUCCG
rnacentral:rRNA from 1 species